rnacentral:rRNA from 1 species
AUGAACGCUGGCGGCGUGCCUAAUACAUGCAAGUCGCGCGAACAGACGAGGAGCUUGCUCCUCUGACGUUAGCGGCGGACGGGUGAGUAACACGUGGAUAACCUACCUAUAAGACUGGGAUAACUUCGGGAAACCGGAGCUAAUACCGGAUAAUAUAUUGAACCGCAUGGUUCAAUAGUGAAAGACGGUUUUGCUGUCACUUAUAGAUGGAUCCGCGCCGCAUUAGCUAGUUGGUAAGGUAACGGCUUACCAAGGCGACGAUGCAUAGCCGACCUGAGAGGGUGAUCGGCCACACUGGAACUGAGACACGGUCCAGACUCCUACGGGAGGCAGCAGUAGGGAAUCUUCCGCAAUGGGCGAAAGCCUGACGGAGCAACGCCGCGUGAGUGAUGAAGGUCUUCGGAUCGUAAAACUCUGUUAUUAGGGAAGAACAAAUGUGUAAGUAACUAUGCACGUCUUGACGGUACCUAAUCAGAAAGCCACGGCUAACUACGUG